AACUUAUGUGUGAAGGCUAUGCUCUACUUGAUCGUGUCUAUAUCUUUAUUAGAUUUCCAUGUUUAAAUCUUGUGGCUAAAGCUCUUUUAGGCUAAUUCUGAAUCAGCUUGAUCUUGAAAGUCUUUUGUAAUAGUUCACUAUCUUAUGAGGGUCAAUCCUGUCACUUUAGGUUUAUUUCUAACAAUACAAGCUUGAACCUUCCUUGUAAACUUGUCGGUAUUUCAUGUGAUCUUAUCCAUAUGUUUUGGUUAUAAAUGUUGAUUAGUUAUAGCUUUAGGAGUUGAGUGUGAAAAGUUAUUUAGUUAAUUCCACGAGUGCUCUGUCGUUUGUAUGAUUAAGUUUGGCAUUCAUACCGCUAAGUAAGUUAUUCAUUGGGCUCGGUGUUAGGCCAUAUGUAUUGUUGGACCUGGGCAUUGGAUUCAGGAAGAUUCUACUGUCCUACUUCUUUAACUUGCUCUACUUCUGCACGCGAAGAUUCUACUGUCCUCAUGAGCCUGAGACUUGAGUCUGUUGGUUGGUGAGGCAGUUGAAGGCCCAUAAACUCACUAGAUUAUUUUAUGGCAGGCUUGUACUUGUUUUAGUUUGUAUGUUGUCAUCUUUGAGUUUGUAUUACUCCAUUUUUGUCCUGUAACUUGUAAUAACGAAUAAUUGGGUUGUUAGUAAAAUGGAAAAUGGGUGUGCUUUGUUAUUGCAUAAAGGGUAGAGAACAUAUUUAUCAGGUCUACAUGCUUUAUUUGUUAUCUUCUUUAACUUGCUCUACUUCUGCACGCUAGUAUAAAUCAUGUCUCUAGGAAUUGAUCACACCUCACCUAAUUUGACCAAUACUGG
rnacentral:lncRNA from 1 species